rnacentral:rRNA from 1 species
UAAGUCAGCCACGAAUAGGCUAUCCCAACUAACGGCGGGAAAGACUCCACGGAGGGUGUAAGACCCGUGUGGGCGCGUGUUAAAGCUGUGUGGGCUCGGCCUCCAUUCCCUGAGAGUCGCGUUGCUUGAGCAUGCAGCGCUAAGCAGGUCGUAAACUCGAUCUAAGGCUAAAUAUUUCCACAGAACCGAUAGCGAACAAGUACCGUGAGGGAAAGUUGAAAAGCACUCUGGAGAGAGAGUCAAAAGACCGUGAAACCGCUCAGAGUAUAAGCCCAUGGCAGCUUGGAAGGCAUAUCGCUAGCGGGGCAUCGGUCUCCCUUCGCGGGGAGCUGGUGUUACCUUGCUUCUGUUGUGGCUCGUCAUGGUAGGGGGGUCAGGUCCACAUCCCGCCGUCGUGUGGGGGGUUCUUGGGUGUGUUGUGGUUUCUCGGUUGGCUUCGGCUUUCCGGGGGGCUCUUCGUGCUCGGUUCCCUUUUAGACACGGACGUUCAGACUCAGUUGCAAGACGCGAUAACCAGCCCACCACGGCACGUUGUGAGGUCACCCACAGGCUCGACUUUCGAUCGUGAGCCUUGACGCCGAGCAAGCACAAUGCGUGUCGCAGAGGUUCCUAACCAGGCAAAGGUGCCAGGAUCGUGGAACGACACGCGCUCAACAGUCAGGUUCGGGCGGAGACAGAGUUCUGGUACGAUCCUCUUGCGACGAGCCGGCUUCUGGCCGACAUCCGAUGCUCAGGUCUCCCGCAUGUGCCGCGGGAGAUCGCUUUGACGGUCUGGA